rnacentral:rRNA from 1 species
GAUGAACGCUAGCGGCAGGCCUAAUACAUGCAAGUCGAACGGUCCACUUCGGUGGAUAGUGGCGCACGGGUGCGUAACACGUAUGCAACCUACCUUACAUUGGGGGCUAGCCUUUCGAAAGGGAGAUUAAUACCGCAUAAGACAGUAACAUGGCAUCAUGUAGCUGUUAAAGAUUUAUCGAUGUAAGCUGGGCAUGCGUCCAAUUAGUUAGUUGGUGAGGUAAUGGCUCACCAAGACGAUGAUUGGUAGGGGAACUGAGAGGUCAAUCCCCCCCACUGGCACUGAGAGACGGGCCAGACUCCGACGGGAGGCAGCAGUAGGGAAUAUUUGGCAAUGGACGCAAGUCUGACCCAGCCAUGCCGCGUGCAGGAAGAAGGCGUUCUGCGUUGUAAACUGCUUUUAUAUAGGAAGAAACGACCCUUGCGAGGGGCAUUGACGGUAUUAUAUGAAUAAGCACCGGCUAACUCCGUGCCAGCCGCCGCCGUAACAC